CCCUCGAUAGCUCAGUUGGAAGAGCGUGGGACUGUAAUUGCUUCUGUAAACCACGAUCCCGAGGUCACUGGUUCGAUCCCGGUUUGAGGGA